rnacentral:rRNA from 1 species
CCUACGGGAGGCAGCAGUGGGGAAUAUUGGACAAUGGGGGGAACCCUGAUCCAGCCAUGCCGCGUGUGUGAAGAAGGCCCUCGGGUUGUAAAGCACUUUCAGUGAGGAAGAACGCCUGGUGGUUAAUACCCAUCAGGAAAGACAUCACUCACAGAAGAAGCACCGGCUAACUCCGUGCCAGCAGCCGCGGUAAUACGGAGGGUGCGAGCGUUAAUCGGAAUUACUGGGCGUAAAGCGCGCGUAGGUGGCUUGAUAAGCCGGUUGUGAAAGCCCCGGGCUCAACCUGGGAACGGCAUCCGGAACUGUCAAGCUAGAGUGCAGGAGAGGAAGGUAGAAUUCCCGGUGUAGCGGUGAAAUGCGUAGAGAUCGGGAGGAAUACCAGUGGCGAAGGCGGCCUUCUGGACUGACACUGACACUGAGGUGCGAAAGCGUGGGUAGCAAACAGGAUUAGAUACCCGUGUGGUC